rfam:Ictidomys tridecemlineatus contig091234, whole genome shotgun sequence.
CCAAAGGCUCUUUUAAGAGCCACCCACAUUUUUAAAAUGGCGUGA